rnacentral:rRNA from 1 species
GGUUAAGCGACUAAGCGUACACGGUGGAUGCCCUGGCAGUCAGAGGCGAUGAAGGGCGUGCUAAUCUGCGAUAAGCGCCGGUAAGGUGAUAUGAACCGUUAUAACCGGCGAUACCCGAAUGGGGAAACCCAGUGUGAUUCGUCACACUAUCAUUAACUGAAUCCAUAGGUUAAUGAGGCGAACCGGGGGAACUGAAACAUCUAAGUACCCCGAGGAAAAGAAAUCAACCGAGAUUCCCCCAGUAGCGGCGAGCGAACGGGGAGGAGCCCAGAGCCUGAAUCAGCAUGUGUGUUAGUGGAAGCGUCUGGAAAGGCGCGCGAUACAGGGUGACAGCCCCGUACACAAAAGCGCAUGUGCUGUGAGCUCGAUGAGUAGGGCGGGACACGUGGUAUCCUGUCUGAAUAUGGGGGGACCAUCCUCCAAGGCUAAAUACUCCUGACUGACCGAUAGUGAACCAGUACCGUGAGGGAAAGGCGAAAAGAACCCCGGCGAGGGGAGUGAAAAAGAACCUGAAACCGUGUACGUACAAGCAGUGGGAGCACCCUUUGGGGUGUGACUGCGUACCUUUUGUAUAAUGGGUCAGCGACUUAUAUUCUGUAGCAAGGUUAACCGUAUAGGGGAGCCGGAGGGAAACCGAGUCUUAAUUGGGCGUUAAGUUGCAGGGUAUAGACCCGAAACCCGGUGAUCUAGCCAUGGGCAGGUUGAAGGUUGGGUAACACUAACUGGAGGACCGAACCGACUAAUGUUGAAAAAUUAGCGGAUGACCUGUGGCUGGGGGUGAAAGGCCAAUCAAACCGGGAGAUAGCUGGUUCUCCCCGAAAGCUAUUUAGGUAGCGCCUCGUGAAUUCAUCUCCGGGGGUAGAGCACUGUUUCGGCUAGGGGGCCAUCCCGGCUUACCAACCCGAUGCAAACUGCGAAUACCGGAGAAUGUUAUCACGGGAGACACACGGCGGGUGCUAACGUCCGUCGUGAAGAGGGAAACAACCCAGACCGCCAGCUAAGGUCCCAAAGUCAUGGUUAAGUGGGAAACGAUGUGGGAAGGCCCAGACAGCCAGGAUGUUGGCUUAGAAGCAGCCAUCAUUUAAAGAAAGCGUAAUAGCUCACUGGUCGAGUCGGCCUGCGCGGAAGAUGUAACGGGGCUAAACCAUGCACCGAAGCUGCGGCAGCGACACUGUGUGUUGUUGGGUAGGGGAGCGUUCUGUAAGCCUGUGAAGGUGUGUCGUGAGGCAUGCUGGAGGUAUCAGAAGUGCGAAUGCUGACAUAAGUAACGAUAAAGCGGGUGAAAAGCCCGCUCGCCGGAAGACCAAGGGUUCCUGUCCAACGUUAAUCGGGGCAGGGUGAGUCGACCCCUAAGGCGAGGCCGAAAGGCGUAGUCGAUGGGAAACGGGUUAAUAUUCCCGUACUUGGUGUUACUGCGAAGGGGGGACGGAGAAGGCUAUGUUGGCCGGGCGACGGUUGUCCCGGUUUAAGCGUGUAGGCUGGUUUUCCAGGCAAAUCCGGAAAAUCAAGGCUGAGGCGUGACGACGAGGCACUACGGUGCUGAAGCAACAAAUGCCCUGCUUCCAGGAAAAGCCUCUAAGCAUCAGGUAACACGAAAUCGUACCCCAAACCGACACAGGUGGUCAGGUAGAGAAUACCAAGGCGCUUGAGAGAACUCGGGUGAAGGAACUAGGCAAAAUGGUGCCGUAACUUCGGGAGAAGGCACGCUGACAUGUAGGUGAAGUGAUUUACUCAUGGAGCUGAAGUCAGUCGAAGAUACCAGCUGGCUGCAACUGUUUAUUAAAAACACAGCACUGUGCAAACACGAAAGUGGACGUAUACGGUGUGACGCCUGCCCGGUGCCGGAAGGUUAAUUGAUGGGGUCAGCGCAAGCGAAGCUCCUGAUCGAAGCCCCGGUAAACGGCGGCCGUAACUAUAACGGUCCUAAGGUAGCGAAAUUCCUUGUCGGGUAAGUUCCGACCUGCACGAAUGGCGUAAUGAUGGCCAGGCUGUCUCCACCCGAGACUCAGUGAAAUUGAACUCGCUGUGAAGAUGCAGUGUACCCGCGGCAAGACGGAAAGACCCCGUGAACCUUUACUAUAGCUUGACACUGAACAUUGAGCCUUGAUGUGUAGGAUAGGUGGGAGGCUUUGAAGUGUGGACGCCAGUCUGCAUGGAGCCGACCUUGAAAUACCACCCUUUAAUGUUUGAUGUUCUAACGUGGACCCGUAAUCCGGGUUGCGGACAGUGUCUGGUGGGUAGUUUGACUGGGGCGGUCUCCUCCUAAAGAGUAACGGAGGAGCACGAAGGUUGGCUAAUCCUGGUCGGACAUCAGGAGGUUAGUGCAAUGGCAUAAGCCAGCUUGACUGCGAGCGUGACGGCGCGAGCAGGUGCGAAAGCAGGUCAUAGUGAUCCGGUGGUUCUGAAUGGAAGGGCCAUCGCUCAACGGAUAAAAGGUACUCCGGGGAUAACAGGCUGAUACCGCCCAAGAGUUCAUAUCGACGGCGGUGUUUGGCACCUCGAUGUCGGCUCAUCACAUCCUGGGGCUGAAGUAGGUCCCAAGGGUAUGGCUGUUCGCCAUUUAAAGUGGUACGCGAGCUGGGUUUAGAACGUCGUGAGACAGUUCGGUCCCUAUCUGCCGUGGGCGCUGGAGAACUGAGGGGGGCUGCUCCUAGUACGAGAGGACCGGAGUGGACGCAUCACUGGUGUUCGGGUUGUCAUGCCAAUGGCACUGCCCGGUAGCUAAAUGCGGAAGAGAUAAGUGCUGAAAGCAUCUAAGCACGAAACUUGCCCCGAGAUGAGUUCUCCCUGAGACUUAAAGUCUCCUGAAGGAACGUUGAAGACGACGACGUUGAUAGGCCGGGUGUGUAAGCGCAGCGAUGCGUUGAGCUAACCGGUACUAAUGAACCGUGAGGCUUAACCUU